rnacentral:lncRNA from 1 species
UCUCUAUUAACUAUAUCAAACUUAAAUUUUAAAACAAAAUGAAUGGAAUGUAUGUGAUUGAUUUUCAUUUGAUUUGAAUAACUUACCAACAAUUUACUAGAAACAACCUCCAAAUUUUCCUUUAUUAUUUAAAACAUGCACUUGAUUUAACAAUAUCCAGAACAAUCCACUAAAAAUGUGAAAUGCAAAGAACAAAAUUCAACAUUCUCAGUGUGUGUUCAGCUCUAUAAAACCACUAAGCAUUAUUAAUCUGCAUUCAUAUAACAAACAAAUUUAGAAUGUUCUUAAUUUAAAUUCAUAAUUUUCAAGAUAAUUUUCACAUAAAAAGGCAACAAUUAAUCAAUUAGUUAGCCAAAAUUCUACAAGCAAAAUAUAAACAAAUUAAGUGAUGAAAACAAAUUAAAAGCACCCUAAUUGUAUAGUCGAGAUCCAUUAGCUUAAAAAUAAUUUUUCCCCUCCGUAUGCAGUCUUUUUCAUUUUAGAAUACUUUUUCUCCUAAAUAUUUCAAUCAAUCUUCGGUAUAGAUAGUUCAUAGUUUAUUGAUGUUCUUAAACACUUACUCGAAAUUAUGUCUUUACAAUUGAAAAAUAAUAUUGUGCGCAUUCCUCUCUUGAGGUCUUCACUACCCCUCCUGUUAGUGCAACAAUUAUCAUUAGUGAUUACAACAAAUGACUUUUCUUAUUAGAUAUUUGGUUUCUAAUUUGUUUAUUUGAUGUCUUUUAUUAUUAAUGAUUUGACGCAUCCAAGGAAGUCAACAAUAGGUUACACAAUCUCAUAUUUUUCAUUGAUACUUUGGUGAGAAUUGAGAAGCCAUGAAUGAUGUAAUGUUGUGUAAACGAAAAAACUUUAUAUCUAAAGUGUAUUCUCCGCCAACGUUUAAGAAGGAAUUGAGAGAAUGAUUCUUGAGAUAAUAUAAGAUAUGAUGUAUCUUUUUACCAACUAAUCUGAAUAUACAAAGUUAGAAAUGAAGAAGUAUUAAAAGUUGAUUGAAGUGAGAAUAUAGUAAAAUUAUUUUCAUGAAGAACUUUUGUGUGUGG